ensembl:snRNA U6 U6 spliceosomal RNA
GUGCUUGCUUUGAAAGUACAUAUCCUAAAAUUGGAAUCAUACAGAGAGGAUUAGUGGGGCCCCUGCACAAGGGUGAUAUGCAAAUCCAUUGCGUGUGGGACUUUUUU